UACCAACCAGGACAUCCACAGACCAGUCACCCCUUCCAGCCAUAAAGGUUGAUGGAAUCUCCACUUAGAUCCACGCAUCCCACGCCAAGGCUGCUCCAGAGACGUCCAGACCAACACCACUUAAGACAUGGAAACUCCAACGCUCCGCAGACCCGCUCAAGAUAAGACUCUCUCGUAUCUAACUCCUUGCUUAUUGUUUGCCCUUCUUCCCUGUGCCGUCUCUAGUAUAGUUUUUGACGCUAACCCCCCACCGGCCAUUUAGCCUGACCUGACAGAUAAUUAAUUUUAAUAAUCAAGAGGUCUUAAAUAAGACCUCCGAGAAUACUCCUAUAAAGACUUAGUUUCCAGACCUCUAUUUCAACCUAAAAAUAAAAAAUAAAAAAAAUAACAGGAAAGAUAAAAGACACAGGCCCCCGGUUUACUGGUCCCACAGGAGUCCUAUUAAGGACUCCUCAGGAUAGACAAGAAUAAAAAGGACAGGCUAGAAAAAUGUCCAUCAGCCGGAACAGGUUUUAUGCCUGUCCCGGAUGCAAGACAGAACCAAUAAAAAAACUUGUAAAAAUCUGACUCACUUAUAUUGCAAAAACUGGUCCUGUGUAACUACUAAUAAUAAAAAAUAAAAAUAAGCCACAAAACCUUAGUAUAUAACUAUGCCCUUUGUCCAGCCCUGUACCACAACCCGAUAUUCAGAAAAUUGCAACCUGGUUCGCAUCAAGUUUAAAGAUGCGGCAAAAUCUGAUAACAGAUAGAUAACAACAAAAUUAAUAUAAGGUCUCUAUUUAUACCAGCACAACCCGCCUAAAAUUCCCCUCCAAAUCAGACUAUUAGUCAAUCCAGACACUGCCCCUGUUGCAGUAAAGCCAAACCAGGUUUUAUUAAAAGCUAGAAAGCCCCCGGUUUCCAUAUCGGAGAAGCCCCAACUAAAAGCUCCUCAAAGCACUUCCCCGCCCUUAAUCUCCCUCACCCUCGCCGACAUAUUAAGAAUUAAGGUAGCGGCUAAAGUUAAAACCGGGACAGCAGCCCUAGUGCAUAGUAACCAUCAUCUGCAACAACUUAAAGUAGCCAUAAA